rnacentral:rRNA from 1 species
AUUGAACGCUGGCGGCAUGCCUUACACAUGCAAGUCGAACGGCAGCGCGGACUUCGGUCUGGCGGCGAGUGGCGAACGGGUGAGUAAUACAUCGGAACGUACCCUGUUGUGGGGGAUAACUAGUCGAAAGAUUAGCUAAUACCGCAUACGACCUGAGGGUGAAAGUGGGGGAUCGCAAGGCCUCACGCAGCAGGAGCGGCCGAUGUCUGAUUAGCUAGUUGGUGGGGUAAAGGCCCACCAAGGCGACGAUCAGUAGCUGGUCUGAGAGGACGAUCAGCCACACUGGGACUGAGACACGGCCCAGACUCCUACGGGAGGCAGCAGUGGGGAAUUUUGGGCAAUGGGGGCAACCCUGAUCCAGCAAUGCCGCGUGUGUGAAGAAGGCCUUCGGGUUGUAAAGCACUUUUGUCCGGAAAGAAAUCGCGCUGGUUAAUACCUGGCGUGGAUGACGGUACCGGAAGAAUAAGCACCGGCUAACUACGUG